AACGAACGCUGGCGGCAGGCUUAACACAUGCAAGUCGAACGCCCCGCAAGGGGAGUGGCGCACGGGUGAGUAACGCGUGGGAACGUGCCUUUUAGUUGGGGAUAACUACUGGAAACGGUAGCUAAUACCCGAUACGCCCUUAGGGGGAAAGAUUUAUCGCUAAAAGAUCGGCCCGCGUUAGAUUAGGUAGUUGGUGGGGUAAUGGCCUACCAAGCCUACGAUCUAUAGCUGGUCUGAGAGGAUGGCCAGCCACACUGGAACUGAGACACGGUCCAGACUCCUACGGGAGGCAGCAGUGGGGAAUGUUGGACAAUGGGGGAAACCCUGAUCCAGCCAUGCCGCGUGAAUGAUGAAGGCCUUAGGGUUGUAAAGUUCUUUUGUCAGGGAAGAUAAUGACGGUACCUGAAGAAUAAGCACCGGCUAACUUCGUGCCAGCCGCCGCUGUAA
rnacentral:rRNA from 1 species